rnacentral:rRNA from 1 species
CAGCCAUGCCGCGUGUAUGAAGAAGGCCUUCGGGUUGUAAAGUACUUUCAGCAGUGAGGAAGGAGGUAUCGUUAAUAGCGGUAUCUUUUGACGUUAGCUGCAGAAGAAGCACCGGCUAACUCCGUGCCAGCAGCCGCGGUAAUACGGAGGGUGCGAGCGUUAAUCGGAAUUACUGGGCGUAAAGCGCAUGCAGGUGGUUUGUUAAGUCAGAUGUGAAAGCCCGGGGCUCAACCUCGGAAUUGCAUUUGAAACUGGCAGGCUAGAGUACUGUAGAGGGGGGUAGAAUUUCAGGUGUAGCGGUGAAAUGCGUAGAGAUCUGAAGGAAUACCGGUGGCGAAGGCGGCCCCCUGGACAGAUACUGACACUCAGAUGCGAAAGCGUGGGGAGCAAACAGGAUUAGAUACCCUGGUAGUCCACGCCGUAAACGAUGUCUACUUGGAGGUUGUGGCCUUGAGCCGUGGCUUUCGGAGCUAACGCGUUAAGUAGACCGCCUGGGGAGUACGGUCGCAAGAUUAAAACUCAAAUGAAUUGACGGGGGCCCGCACAAGCGGUGGAGCAUGUGGUUUAAUUCGAUGCAACGCGAAGAACCUUACCUACUCUUGACAUCCAGAGAACUUAGCAGAGAUGCUUUGGUGCCUUCGGGAACUCUGAGACAGG